AAACGGUUGGCUCAGUGGAAGAGCGCUCGGACGGUAUCCGAGAGGUCACGGGUUCGAGUCCCGCAUCGUUCG